AACACAUUCAAACAUGUGGAACUGGUUAUGCUCAUGCUAGUUUCUAUUGGCCAUUACUUCUGGACUAAAGAUAAGUAAACUUUGUCACUCUUCUUUGUCCAGCAGGUGGCACUACUAUACAAUUAAGAUGUCAUACAGAAAUGAUCAUGGUACAUCGUCAUACCCUGUUUCUAAAUCAACACCAUCACCAACUACAAGAAUAAGUCUUCUCAAUUCAAACCAGUUACAGCCAAUGGUCCUUGAGGGAGAUUUGAGAGACACAAUCAGUUGAGGACCAGGAACAACCAGAGAACAUGGAUCUGAUAUUUGAACACAAAGUCUCCCUGUAGACACAUGGAGAACAGAAUUACCAUGCAUCACACACACACGCACGCACGCCAAAUGUAUUAAUCACACGCACAAACACACACAUGACAGAUGUAUUUAAAUACUCCUCCAUGUUAUCCAUUAACAUUUCAAAACAUAUGUUCACACUACUUAUUAUAAUGCCGAACCAUUAAAACUGUAACCUAUAAAUGAAU
ensembl:lncRNA